rnacentral:rRNA from 1 species
CUGCGAAAGGAUCAUU